UAGGGAUUCUUCCACAAUGGACGCAAGUCUGAUGGAGCAACGCCGCGUGAGUGAAGAAGGUUUUCGGAUCGUAAAGCUCUGUUGUUGGUGAAGAAGGAUAGAGGCAGUAACUGGUCUUUAUUUGACGGUAAUCAACCAGAAAGUCACGGCUAACUACGUGCCAGCAGCCGCGGUAAUACGUAGGUGGCAAGCGUUGUCCGGAUUUAUUGGGCGUAAAGCGAGCGCAGGCGGAAUGAUAAGUCUGAUGUGAAAGCCCACGGCUCAACCGUGGAACUGCAUCGGAAACUGUCAUUCUUGAGUGCAGAAGAGGAGAGUGGAAGUCCAUGUGUAGCGGUGGAAUGCGUAGAUAUAUGUAAGAACACCAGUGGCGAAGGCGGCUCUCUGGUCUGCAACUGACGCUGAGGAUCGAAAGCAUGGGUAGCGAACAGG
rnacentral:rRNA from 1 species